CCUACGGGAGGCAGCAGUGGGGAAUAUUGCACAAUGGGCGAAACCCUGAUCCAGCGACGCCGCGUGAGUGAAGAAGUAUCUCGGUACGUAAAGCUCUAUCAGCAGGGAAGAAAAUGAUGGUACCUGACUCAGAAGCCCCGGCUAACUACGUGCCAGCAGCCGCGGUAAUACGGAGGGGGCACGCGUUAUCCGGAUUUACGGGGUGUAAAGGGAGUGUAGAUGGCAGUACAAGUCGGGAGUGAAAUCCCUGGGCUUAACCCCGGAACUACUUUGGAGACUGGGAGGCUGGAGUGCAGGAGAGGUAAGCGGAAUUCCUAGUGUAGCGGUGAAAUGCGUAGAUAUUAGGAAGAACACCGAUGGUGAAGGCAGCAUACUGGAACGUAACUGACGCUGAGGCACGAAAGCGUGGGGAGCAAACAGGAUUAGAUACCCCAGUAGUC
rnacentral:rRNA from 1 species